GAUACUCCAUUGUAGGAGACACUGAAGGAAUGAUUGGUGAUGUAAGAAGAGAACCAGGACAGGGCUUUUUCACGAAGGCUAAGCGACUGGAGGGACAAGGCAUUGACAAGGCAUUGAUGAUGUCCAUGCCCUUUAUUUGGUAGAAGAGUUCCACAGAGACCUUGCUGUCCUCUCCUCCAACCCCUUGGAAAGGAAUUACUGUAAGUGUGCACUAUGAUUGGAAUGAAAAGUUGACACCUGUAAGACCCAGUUUAAAACCUGGACUAUAUUUCUUAAACAGUUCCGGGGUGCACUUUUAUUGUCUCGAAUUUGAGUUUAAUGACUCCUGUUUGGGACUGCCCCAACCUUUGCCUGAACUGUGACUAUGUUACAGUUUUCCCCUUAUUAUUAAGUUGAACUUUUGCUUAAUCUGUCAACUUUCAUCUUAGUCCCUACCUGGUCAGUGAGACUUGUAUUUAUUUUACCUUUCUAUGCAUUUUGAGUGAAGAUACAUGGCAGCAAGAGAGGGUUAGGGAGCUCCACAGUAGGGUAAAUGCUAAUAAAUGCCAAGCAAACCACAGUAUAUUACUGUAAUAGCCUCCAUUUGUAAGUACAAAUUGUAUGUUUGAUGUUUGUAACUCCACCACUGCCUGUAUUUGAUUUUGCUUGUACUUUGUUUGCCUUGGGAAUUGUGUAACUAGGAAGUGACAGAUUUAUUGCUGGCUAUGUUCCUUUUAUGCAGGAUAAAUGAUGAGUAUCUCUUCAUUUGAAUUAGUGGACACAGUGUUAUGACCAUGUGUGACUUCUAUCUUCUGGAUUUACAGUUUCUCCCUGCCACUGCCAGUGACUACAAUGAGAUUAUGUCUAUUUUAGGUGGAACACAUGAUGGAGUGGAUUAUCUGCCAUUCAGGUACCAUGAGUUGUUGGCAGAGCCUCAGCGGAGGAUGUUUGUAGCCAGUGGGACCAUCCAGGACUGUUGCGGGCUUAGAUGAAUCUGGACCUAAAAUUGAGGCUGAGCUUUUAAAUUUGGCACUUAUUUGAAUAAACAUUUUUCCUGAAGCAUUGCCUCUUGGGUCACUUCGCUUCCUUCUUGUUGGCGGAUGGGGGUGUUACAGUUGUGUUGCAAGGUCUUCGUGUUGCCCCGUGGAUGAGGGGCCGUGGGUUUGCAAGGAGAAUCCUGAAGUUUUGUUUUGACACCCUGCACACUGAUCACCCUGAGGUCACCAACAUAUGUGAAACAGUAGACGAAAACCUUCCACCCUCUUUGUUGAGCAAGUCUCAGCUGUUGCAUUCUAAGGGAUUAUCUGCUGUCUAAUUAUCUGAUUACUUUACAACUGUGCGUGGUUGGUUGCUGUCAGCCUUUGUAUUGAUUUCUAUCCUUUAAAAUCCUUCAUUUAGCUCAGUGUGAUCACAGGUGUCUGCAUUAGUGUUUCAAUACCCCACUAUAUAUUUUUUGCUCUUUUUUCCCCAUUGUCUUUUUACAUGUCUACCAAUGAGCUGGAGAGCCCCAGUAGAACACAAUCAAAUACCUAUUUUUUUCCUCAGAGGUAUGGGCCCUCAAUCUAUGACAGAAAUGCACAGUAAAACUAGGCAUGUCUUUUUGGUGCCAUUGCUGAUGACAUAUUGUAUAUUAGGGGUACUGUGAACAAUGUGGAGAACUUUUGUUAAAGGCUUCUAGCUGUUGUGAUUGGGUCUCCAUGAUUGCAGAUAAACUGUUCUGUAAUUCAUAUGAGGUGCGUUAUUAUUGAUUCUAAACCAUUUCUUGAGCUGACUCCCAAACUAAAUUUGGGUCACCAGAAGAUAAAGUGUUCAUACACAGAGGGCUUCUCCUUGGUGAAUGACUGAAUUCUGCACCUCAUGCUAGAUAACAAAUCUAAAUGAUAAGCAAGCUAGGAGAUGGGUAAGGGUCAGAAGGAUGGAGAAAAAGAGACAUUGCAAAAGAAAAAACCCAAACAAAAGCAUGUUAAAGCAUGUUGUGUGCCUCAUUUAGGCCCCUAGCAAUUAGGUAACCCAACAAUGCUUGACAUCUAGAAAUAGUCCACACCCUAACAAAAUGGAUUGACCCAUGCCACCCAUAGCACUUGGUGCUGUUAGGGAAAACUGCAUCAGUCAUAAUGCCCUUCAUCACCCAUGAAAAAGAAUAGGAAACAUUGCCGACAGCAGACACAAGUGGUGACAAGUGGAAUUGAGUGUUGCCCUGUUGCCAACAAAUGGCUGUUUUUUUCAAUAAGGAACUCAAAAGAGAAGAGGAAUAAAGAGAAUAAAACACAAAGAUAAGAUGCAAUUUAUAUUUUGAUGCUGAAUUGGGAUUAGAGAACUGCUGACUUUGUUCUGGUGUCAAUUAGGUUUCCAACUUUUCCUUAUUCAUUAUUCUAUAUUAAUAAAAAAAAAAAAGAAUUUCAAUGGCUUUCCUAUCAAUUGAGUGAAUAAAUUUGUCUUUUUGCCUUUGUGAAAUAUCAAUAAUCAGCCAUUUUUACCACAAUUUUGCUCAAUUUAUUAUUAGAAAAAAAAUAAAAAAAAAUGUAAAUAGUGCCACCAAAAACCCACUGAGACACAGAUAAAAGUAAAGUGAAAGUGCAUUCAAGCAAGUUAUCUAUCUAGAAAUGUUUUCCUCCAAUUGUACGCCUGUCGUGAUUUAUCAACUUGCUUAAAAAAUAAAUGAGAAAUGGUCAUAAAAAGUGGAACCAAUAAGAUGUUAAUUUUUUAAAAUCUCAAAGCAAAUCAGGUUUCAUUCAGACAAGUCCAGCCCUGCAUGCUUAUCCUUUAAGAAGCAGAUUGUUUUACAAGAUUUAUUGAAGGAUAAUAUU